CUUCGGACUGACCUUGGCGAUGACGUCAAGGGCAUGAUCUUCGUGGAGACCAGAGCCACUGCCUUUGCUCUCGCAAAAUACAUCACUGAAGAAUUAAAAAUGAUGGGAUACAGGGCAGCGCCAUUCACCGGAAGUAAAUCCAGUGACAGCAGUGAAGGUAUGCUUGAGGAAGAAAAGACCGACACUUUGAAGAAAUACAGGAAAGGGGAGAUCAAUCUAUUGGUGGCGACCUCUGUCGGCAGUGAGGGGAUUGAUGUCCCAGACAGUAACUUCAUCAUCACCUACAACUACACCGGAAACGAGGCCGACAUCAUGCAAAUGAGUGGACGUGCAAGACGACAGGACUCCACAGUGACUCACAUCUCUGACCAGACGAUACAGCGCCGAGAGGAGACCAGUCUACAGAAAGCCCUACUGAUGGCGCGUGCGUUUGACCGCCUGGGUGACAUGAAGGAGGAGGACCGACACAGGAAGAUCCGGGAGCAGCAGACGACAAUAAAGGACACAGAAAUCGGGUCCUUUUUCCUGGAAAACUCAGUAACAAAAGAAACCAUGUCAUUCGCCAUUAUCUGCUGGAAAUGUCAGGCGUUUGCAGUACAUGGCGAUGACGUCAGAAUUUACACCGGUCAGCACCGGAUUGUACUUGAUCCAGACUUUCUGGACCGCUGUGUGCUGGAGGACUUGGACGAAACUUCGAGGUUCAAGAAGCGGAUUAUCCGUUGUAAGGAAUGUAAAACAAAAUGGGGGACCACGUUUGGGGUGGACGAGUUUGAAGUUCCUGUCCUAAAGGUGAAAGCCUUUCUGUUCGUCCCAGGGUACACCGGGGGAGAUUUGUCGGAGUGGAAGGAACGUAAGCGCUUCAAGACCUGGGGGAGAGUGGAGUUCGCCAUUACAAACAUCGGCAAAACCAAGCUGAUUGAGAAUCUCAACAACAGGAAAAAUGACGUCAUCACCACGUAAGAUUAGAGGUGUUUAUACCCUCUGAUGCCAGGCACACCCUGACUACCCUGCGAUGUCAUAGACACAAAUGUAAUGAAAAAGCUUCAUAAACUGUAUUUUUCUAUUUCUUGUAUCGUUAUGGACACAAUAGUGUUUCAUAGCCUAUCGUUCUACAUUCACUUUUAUUUUCAUCCAUUGGGAUCGUACGCAGCACAGUGUGAGCUUUUAUCCGAAUGAAAUGCACGUAUUAUUUUCUAUUAAUAAAACUGGAAAAUG
rnacentral:misc_RNA from 1 species